CCUACGGGCGGCAGCAGUGAGGAAUAUUGGUCAAUGGACGAGAGUCUGAACCAGCCAAGUAGCGUGAAGGAUGACUGCCCUAUGGGUUGUAAACUUCUUUUAUAUGGGAAUAAAAUGUUCCACGUGUGGGAUUUUGUAUGUACCAUAUGAAUAAGGAUCGGCUAACUCCGUGCCAGCAGCCGCGGUAAUACGGAGGAUCCGAGCGUUAUCCGGAUUUAUUGGGUUUAAAGGGAGCGUAGGUGGAUUGUUAAGUCAGUUGUGAAAGUUUGCGGCUCAACCGUAAAAUUGCAGUUGAAACUGGCAGUCUUGAGUACAGUAGAGGUGGGCGGAAUUCGUGGUGUAGCGGUGAAAUGCUUAGAUAUCACGAAGAACUCCGAUUGCGAAGGCAGCUCACUGGACUGCAACUGACGCUGAGGAGCGAAAGCGUGGUAGCAAACAGGAUUAGAUACCCGGGUAGUC
rnacentral:rRNA from 1 species